GUGGGGCCCACCUGUCGGUGGCUCGUGCGGGCGCGCGCGCUACGGGCCGGCUCUGUCCAGUUCGGGCGCGGGCGAAGCUGGGCCGGUUCGGCCCAUUUGGCCGGGACGGUCCGAUUUACUCCUUUUUUUUUCCUUUUACCUUUUCUCCUUUUUCUUUUUAUGUAAUUACCUUCUAACUUUUGAUUUUGAACUCCAAAUUGGUCCAAAUAAAUUCCAGAAAAUUUGUAAAAUCAUAUUAUAAUAUCAUUCAACUUUUGGGACUAAUUUCCCUUCCAAAUAAAAUAUAUAAAAAUACAUUUUCCCUAUAAAUGCCUUUAAGGCUUUAUAGCUAUUUAAAUAAAAUAGUUUUUCAACUCCAAAUAAUUAUCCAAAAAUUAUGGGAUAGCUUAUUUAUGCAAUAAACCCCUUUUGUAGUUUAACCCUAUUGGUUUAAAGAUCCAAAGCUCAAAUGGGUGAAACCCUAGGGUUUAAAAUGAAAUAGAAACCUUUUUAAAACCUUUUUGGAAUUCAAAAUUGAUUCAAAUAUGCAAUUGUGGCAUGAUGCUCAUGAGUGCAAUGCAUAUGAAAGAGUUUGAAAUUUUGGGAUGUUACAC
rnacentral:lncRNA from 1 species